AUAAUGGGUCAGCGACUUAUAUUCUGUAGCAAGGUUAACCGAAUAGGGGAGCCGAAGGGAAACCGAGUCUUAACUGGGCGUUAAGUUGCAGGGUAUAGACCCGAAACCCGGUGAUCUAGCCAUGGGCAGGUUGAAGGUUGGGUAACACUAACUGGAGGACCGAACCGACUAAUGUUGAAAAAUUAGCGGAUGACUUGUGGCUGGGGGUGAAAGGCCAAUCAAACCGGGAGAUAGCUGGUUCUCCCCGAAAGCUAUUUAGGUAGCGCCUCGUGAAUUCAUCUCCGGGGGUAGAGCACUGUUUCGGCAAGGGGGUCAUCCCGACUUACCAACCCGAUGCAAACUGCGAAUACCGGAGAAUGUUAUCACGGGAGACACACGGCGGGUGCUAACGUCCGUCGUGAAGAGGGAAACAACCCAGACCGCCAGCUAAGGUCCCAAAGUCAUGGUUAAGUGGGAAACGAUGUGGGAAGGCCCAGACAGCCAGGAUGUUGGCUUAGAAGCAGCCAUCAUUUAAAGAAAGCGUAAUAGCUCACUGGUCGAGUCGGCCUGCGCGGAAGAUGUAACGGGGCUAAACCAUGCACCGAAGCUGCGGCAGCGACGCUGAUGCGUUGUUGGGUAGGGGAGCGUUCUGUAAGCCUGUGAAGGUGUACUGUGAGGUAUGCUGGAGGUAUCAGAAGUGCGAAUGCUGACAUAAGUAACGAUAAAGCGGGUGAAAAGCCCGCUCGCCGGAAGACCAAGGGUUCCUGUCCAACGUUAAUCGGGGCAGGGUGAGUCGACCCCUAAGGCGAGGCCGAAAGGCGUAGUCGAUGGGAAACAGGUUAAUAUUCCUGUACUUGGUGUUACUGCGAAGGGGGGACGGAGAAGGCUAUGUUGGCCGGGCGACGGUUGUCCCGGUUUAAGCGUGUAGGCUGGUUUUCCAGGCAAAUCCGGAAAAUCAAGGCUGAGGCGUGAUGACGAGGCACUACGGUGCUGAAGCAACAAAUGCCCUGCUUCCAGGAAAAGCCUCUAAGCAUCAGGUAACAUCAAAUCGUACCCCAAACCGACACAGG
rnacentral:rRNA from 1 species